AGCAGCCGCGGUAAUUCCAGCUCCAAUAGCGUAUAUUAAAGUUGUUGCAGUUAAAAAGCUCGUAGUUGAAUUUCGGGAUCAGUACGCCGGUCGUGCCUUCGGUAUGUACUGGUGUCACUGAUUCCUCCCUUCUGAAGAACCGUUAUGCCAUUUAUUUGGUGUGGCGGGGAAUCAGGACUGUUACUUUGAAAAAAUUAGAGUGUUUAAAGCAGGCUCGCGCUUGAAUACAUUAGCAUGGAAUAAUGAAAUAGGACGUUUGAUUCUAUUUUGUUGGUUUCUAGGAUCGACGUAAUGAUUAAUAGGGAUAGUUGGGGGCAUUAGUAUUCAAUUGUCAGAGGUGAAAUUCUUGGAUUUAUUGAAGACUAACUACUGCGAAAGCAUUUGCCAAGGAUGUUUUCAUUAAUCAAGAACGAAAGUUAGGGGAUCGAAGACGAUCAGAUACCGUCGUAGUCUUAACCAUAAACUAUGCCGACUAGGGAUCGGAUGAUGUUAAUUUUUUAAUGACUCAUUCGGCGCCUUACG
rnacentral:rRNA from 1 species